CGGCUGAGUAACGCCCAGCCUCCUGCCUGGGAUAGGGAGAGAACUCUUGGACACAAUCCCUAAUACCGCCUAUAUCUCAAGAUUGUGUGAUGUUGAGUGGAACUGCGCCACUGCAACAUUAACAUGUGGACCUGCAUUGAAUUGGCUAGGUGGCGAGGCAACGGCUCAACAAUGCGUCGAUAACCUGCCAACCUGAUAGGGUGAUCUGGCACUGUGGCACUGACACAACUCCCACACUCCGACGGGAGGCGGAAUCUUCGAAUCUGCAGCGAUGUCUGAACGUCUGACCCAGCGACGCCGCAUGAGGGUUUAAGGUUUUCGGAUCCUGUUGCUCUAUUGUAACAAAAGAGAGAGUGUAAAGGUGAAAAUGUCACGGUGUCUUAGCAAAUUAGCACAGCUGGACAGCUGCCUACGUGCCCGCAGCCACGGUGGUCCCUAGGUCCCUAGCGAUUUCCUGAUUUAUUGGCCGUCACACGCGCGCAGGCAGUUCUAUAAGUCUGAGCUGUGGCACAGUGGUAUUACCCUAUUGACACUUGGUAAACUGUUAUAGCUUGAGGGCAGAGUGGGAAUACCGUGAUGUCCCUGUGUAGUGCUGAGAUGCAUAGAUGUAUGGCAGGAGCACCAGUCGGCUCUGCUGGCUCUGCUAGCUCAGUAUCUAGACUCUGAAGCUCGAAGACCUAAGCGAGCAUAACAAUGACUCUAGUACCCUAGCUACGCCACCCCAGGAAUC
rnacentral:rRNA from 1 species